rnacentral:tRNA from 1 species
AUGGGGUUGCAGCUCAGUGGUAGAACACGUGCCUAGCACGUAGGAGCCACUGGGUUCGAUACUCAGCACCACAUA